AUGAACGCUGGCGGCGUGCCUAAUCCAUGCAAGUCGAGCGAACGGACGAGAAGCUUGCUUCUCUGAUGUUAGCGGCGGACGGGUGAGUAACACGUGGAUAACCUACCUAUAAGACUGGGAUAACUUCGGGAAACCGGAGCUAAUACCGGAUAAUAUUUUGAACCGCAUGGUUCAAAAGUGAAAGACGGUCUUGCUGUCACUUAUAGAUGGAUCCGCGCUGCAUUAGCUAGUUGGUAAGGUAACGGCUUACCAAGGCAACGAUGCAUAGUCGACCUGAGAGGGUGAUCGGCCACACUGGAACUGAGACACGGUCCAGACUCCUACGGGAGGCAGCAGUAGGGAAUCUUCCGCAAUGGGCGAAAGCCUGACGGAGCAACGCCGCGUGAGUGAUGAAGGUCUUCGGAUCGUAAAACUCUGUUAUUAGGGAAGAACAUAUGUGUAAGUAACUGUGCACAUCUUGACGGUACCUAAUCAGAAAGCCACGGCUAACUACGUG
rnacentral:rRNA from 1 species